CUGUAUUUCCUUAAGAUCAGACCCCUGAUGCAUGUCACUGUACAUAUCUACAUUAGUUUUAUGUUAUAUUCCUAUUAAGAUUCUCUCAAUGCAAUGAAAUUAAUUUUUGUCUGUCAAAAUAUAGCAUGGCAUUCAGUUGUUGGUGUAACACAGUUACAGUGUCCAAGUGUCAUAAUUUUACUUGUUUAUUGGCAAAAAUUGUCAAUGUUUUCUUGCGGUCACAGAACGUAACAUAUUUUGUCCACCCGUGCCAUUUCAUAUGCCUAGUUACAAUUAUUUUAAUUUACAGAACCACAGAAUAUAACAAAAGUAACUACAGCAUUGGAGUUAUGUAUAAGAGUUAUUCACUCAUUUAGAUGAUUCUAAAGCUUAGUUACCUUUUUUCUAUUCUAUGUUUCUGUAAACUAGAACAAUUAUUAUAGCAACUAGGCAUGUGAGUUAUCUAAAGCUGUAAUUCCAACAAUUAGGUACUAAGGGGCGGAGCAUUAGAAAAGUGAUGUGGGGGAUUUUCUAAGAGGUAAUUUUUUUUUUGUACACCUAUAGAAGAAUUUAUUUUUUUUCUCAAUUGAUGGCUGGAAAUAUUUUUUUUAAGUGAACUUUAUAGGCCUAUCUUCCAAACAAGGAAUUUUUUUUGCACUAUGCCUGGAGAGAUUUUUUCCCCUAAUUUUUUUCUGGAAAUAAUUUUUUCCCCCACUCCCCCCUCCCCCAUCACUUUUCUAAUGGUCCGUCCCUAAACAAACGUUAGCCAAAUUUUCUAUUACCUGCAUAUAAAACAUUGAAAAGUGUGUCAAAAUACAACGAAAAAGUUGAAUGUACUGGUCUGAAAUACUAGUCAAUAUAUUUCCCCAAACCCUUGGGCAAACAUAGACAUGCACUUCAUGUUGUUGGGGAAUUUUGUCAAUAGACAUUAUGAUAAAUGGCGUCACAAGGCUUGAUGCCUGCGAGGAAUACUGGUCUUAGUAGUCAUCACCCGGCAAAAUUAAACAGUUCACUAUCAAACAAUGGCCACUAUCGAAAUGGCCACUAUUGCCACUAUUGAAAUAUUACAAUGGCCACUAUCGAAAUUUUCCAGGCGAUGACUAUAAAGACCAGGAUUUCUUGCUAGGAUCAAGUCUUGUGACGUCAUUAUGCAUUUAAGGUCUAUUACAUAUGUAUCUGGUUGUGGGGUAUCUCAGGGGAUGGGGUAGGAAUAUUCUUUCCAUCACACUGGCUUGGCAAAGUCCAUAAUACUUAUGUUAAUUAAAAG